GGCUUUAGGUCAACUUGAGAGUUUGAUCCUGGCUCAGAACGAACGCUGGCGGCAUGCCUAACACAUGCAAGUCGAACGGGGGGUCCUU
rnacentral:rRNA from 1 species